UUCUACAUCUGCUCAAAGUAGGACCCUGAUCGCUACAGCUGCUGACCGUCAGCAUCUUCUCGGGCAACUCAUAUAGAAAAAUGAACCUCCUGUUGUGUAGACUACUCCUUGAAGAUCACCAGCAAGUCUGUUUAAAUGAAUCCACGUUCCCAAAGGGUUAAUGAGGAUCUACACACACUACUGGAGAAGACAGUUACGACUCUGCCUAGUACCCCACUUCUUCGGCUGUUGUGAAGAGAAUGUCACACACACAGAUCAUUUCCCUCAACAACACAAACGCUGGAUGGAGUAACAACACUGGGUGCUUUUGUAAACCAAUCUCAUUUCAACACACUAGAAAGGGCCGACCUACCUACAGCCUGCUGUACCAGCCGAAGACCUGCCAACUGCCCAGCCAGGCCUC